rnacentral:rRNA from 1 species
GUGAUAUGAACCGUUAUAACCGGCGAUACCCGAAUGGGGAAACCCAGUGUGACUCGUCACACUAUCAUUAACUGAAUCCAUAGGUUAAUGAGGCGAACCGGGGGAACUGAAACAUCUAAGUACCCCGAGGAAAAGAAAUCAACCGAGAUUCCCCCAGUAGCGGCGAGCGAACGGGGAGGAGCCCAGAGCCUGAAUCAGCAUGUGUGUUAGUGGAAGCGUCUGGAAAGGCGCGCGAUACAGGGUGACAGCCCCGUACACAAAAGCGCAUGUGCUGUGAGCUCGAUGAGUAGGGCGGGACACGUGGUAUCCUGUCUGAAUAUGGGGGGACCAUCCUCCAAGGCUAAAUACUCCUGACUGACCGAUAGUGAACCAGUACCGUGAGGGAAAGGCGAAAAGAACCCCGGCGAGGGGAGUGAAAAAGAACCUGAAACCGUGUACGUACAAGCAGUGGGAGCACCCUUUGGGUGUGACUGCGUACCUUUUGUAUAAUGGGUCAGCGACUUAUAUUCUGUAGCAAGGUUAACCGAAUAGGGGAGCCGGAGGGAAACCGAGUCUUAACCGGGCGUUAAGUUGCAGGGUAUAGACCCGAAACCCGGUGAUCUAGCCAUGGGCAGGUUGAAGGUUGGGUAACACUAACUGGAGGACCGAACCGACUAAUGUUGAAAAAUUAGCGGAUGACCUGUGGCUGGGGGUGAAAGGCCAAUCAAACCGGGAGAUAGCUGGUUCUCCCCGAAAGCUAUUUAGGUAGCGCCUCGUGAAUUCAUCUCCGGGGGUAGAGCACUGUUUCGGCUAGGGGGCCAUCCCGGCUUACCAACCCGAUGCAAACUGCGAAUACCGGAGAAUGUUAUCACGGGAGACACACGGCGGGUGCUAACGUCCGUCGUGAAGAGGGAAACAACCCAGACCGCCAGCUAAGGUCCCAAAGUCAUGGUUAAGUGGGAAACGAUGUGGGAAGGCCCAGACAGCCAGGAUGUUGGCUUAGAAGCAGCCAUCAUUUAAAGAAAGCGUAAUAGCUCACUGGUCGAGUCGGCCUGCGCGGAAGAUGUAACGGGGCUAAACCAUGCACCGAAGCUGCGGCAGCGACACUGUGUGUUGUUGGGUAGGGGAGCGUUCUGUAAGCCUGUGAAGGUGUGUCGUGAGGCAUGCUGGAGGUAUCAGAAGUGCGAAUGCUGACAUAAGUAACGAUAAAGCGGGUGAAAAGCCCGCUCGCCGGAAGACCAAGGGUUCCUGUCCAACGUUAAUCGGGGCAGGGUGAGUCGACCCCUAAGGCGAGGCCGAAAGGCGUAGUCGAUGGGAAACGGGUUAAUAUUCCCGUACUUGGUGUUACUGCGAAGGGGGGACGGAGAAGGCUAUGUUGGCCGGG